rnacentral:rRNA from 1 species
AUUGAACGCUGGCGGCAGGCUUAACACAUGCAAGUCGAGCGGGGGAAGGUAGCUUGCUACCGGACCUAGCGGCGGACGGGUGAGUAAUGCUUAGGAAUCUGCCUAUUAGUGGGGGACAACAUCUCGAAAGGGACGCUAAUACCGCAUACGUCCUACGGGAGAAAGCAGGGGAUCUUCGGACCUUGCGCUAAUAGAUGAGCCUAAGUCGGAUUCGCUAGUUGGUGGGGUAAAGGCCUACCAAGGCGACGAUCUGUAGCGGGUAUGAGAGGAUUAGCAGCCACAAUGGGACUGUGACACGGCCCAGACACCAACGGGAGGCAGCAGUGGGGAAUAUUGGACGAUGGGGGGAACCCUGAUCCAGCCAUGCCGCGUGUGUGAAGAAGGCCUUAUGGUUGUAAAGCACUUUAAGCGAGGAGGAGGCUACUCUAGUUAAUACCUAGGGAUAGUGGACGUUACUCGCAGAAUAAGCACCGGCUAACUCUGUGCCAGCCGCCGCGGUAA